CACUAUAGCUAACUUUUUUUGCUCCCUAAUUUCACUCAUAACACCCAGACCUGAUUACUGUCAGACGUGUAGGAUUGUAGAAUUAAAAAAAAAAGAAUCGCUCUGACAAAAUGAGGCAAUAAAUCAUGUCCAAAGAGUGACAAAAUUUCCAAAAAAGAAAAGAAGGGGGACAAAUUAUGUUCACAUUAAAUCUCUAACUGUACAUUGCAUUUACUUUUUGAGAAUGUUCUUUUACACUUAAUGGAACACAAAAUUAUAACUUUAUACACAAAUGUUUUAAAAUUUGUUUUGGGGUUUUAUAUAAUCAAACAAAACUCUAGUAAGCUUUCACUAAAAGAAAAGGAAGCAAAUAGAACGCUUUAUUUGUUUAAUCAAUGACAUUAGUAAUGUGAAAACAAACAUUUUCAUAGCUCUAAAAACAUCACUACAAUCACACCCAUAAAUUGCACGAUUUUCCAUUUCUUGUGCAUAUGGGAGGGGAACUUUUAAAUGGGAUAGCACUGCUGCUGAAAGCCUGAAAACUAUCAGCGCUCCAUUAGCUGCACUGGCUCUUAAGGCCAUCUCCCGUUACACCCCCAGCAUCUAGGGGAUCGAUUUCUGGGCUUGAGUUUGCUCUCCACGGCCCUCUAAUGGCAGACGAGGCGGGAGUCAGGGGUAAUACUAUACAUGCUGACGAGAUGCCUCAUAGAAGACAAAAAGGACAGGGAGUGGUGGGAUGAGAGGGUAGAAGAUGAAAGCAGUUGCUACUGAAAACACUGCGGCCAGGAAAGAAGAAGAGCCUGGAAGUGUGAGUGAUGAUGGAAAGAAGGAGAGAAGAGAGCAGAGAUGGAGUGGCUGAACUCAGGAGAAAGACCAAGAGGAUAGAACUUGAGGAUGACUUCAAGAAGAAGAGCUCUUCUGAAGAAGAAUAGAAAUAAACAGACUUGAAGAUGUGAGACAGACUUCAAGUCUUCUUAAAGAAACCGGGUCGCCCAGCUCUGUAAUGUGCAGAGCAAGCUAAGACACUGAAACAGAGUCAUCAUGUCGAGGCUGAAGAGCAGCAUACAGCGUUGACUAAGUGGGAUGCGUCAGUGGAGUGGAACUGCAUGGGCAGCAUGGGAUGCGUCUUCAGAGCGGGGUCCGGGUGGUAGGGCGUCGGCCCGGACUCCUGACCCAACUCCGUGCCAUCAAUGGGAGCCGCCACCAAGCUCUUCAGGAUCUCCUGCGUUUCAGGGAGAAAAACAAAUCUGAAAUGGAUGAAGGUGGCGCUUGGCUCGAGUUCGGAGUGGAUCUGGGAUCGUGGGGAGAAUCCAGAAGGCUCUCCUGCGACCUCCGGACGUCAGACGACAGACUG